UCCCUCGCUCCCUCCCUCCCUUCUUCCUGAGCUCAUCCCCCAGGUUCCUGUAUCUCAGGCUGACUCUGACUCACUAGUAGCAGAGGAUGACCUUGAACCCUCCACCACCCCCUGCUUUCACCUCCCAAGUGCUGAGAUUACAGUUCUGUACCACCUGGCCGAGUACAGAAUCUUUUGUGCUUUGAGGAGUGACUUCCCAGAACUGCCUUCCUCUGUGCUUUCCACUGUCUUCCUCAUCCACAGGCAGCCCACAGCCACCCUGAUGUUGAUUGGUUUUCCUGCCUAGCAUAAGGAGCCCCUUCACAUUCCUCUCUGCCGACCUCUUAAGGACCAUUUGAGAACAUCUUUCCGGAAGAUCAAGAGUCCGGCGACGACGAGGGAGAGAACGGAGUUACAAAGAAACAGAAGUGUAGACUGAUGGAGAAAACCAGAAGGAUUUGGAGAUGGUGCUGUCUACAUGCCGAGUUUUAAUGCUUAAAUGGCACUUCCAUCAUGGAGUCACCUGUGCUAAGAUCUGGGGCUUUGUUACAAGGCUUCACUUGUAGUGGGUAGCCAUUCCAGCUUUGAUCUGGAAGUUCCAACCCCCACUGAGGCUUCAGUAACUGUCACACCUACAAGGCGGGGCCAAGGGAGGACCCUGAAGACCUGAGAACCGGAUGGGCCAGCUCUCUCUGUUCCUGGACCAUAGACGGGGAGGUUGACUGAGCAGAGCUCUAGAGAAAACCGCUGGACUGUGCUCUAGAGAAAACCGCUGGACUGUGCGAUACACCUUCCCCAGACCCUGCGACCUACCUGUCCCUUCAA